rnacentral:rRNA from 1 species
GACGAACGCUGGCGGCGUGCUUAACACAUGCAAGUCGAACGGAAAGGCCCUGCUUUUGGGGGGUGCUCGAGUGGCGAACGGGUGAGUAACACGUGAGUAACCUGCCCUUGACUUUGGGAUAACUUAAGGAAACUGGGGCUAAUACCGGAUAGGAGCUCCUGCUGCAUGGUGGGGGUUGGAAAGUUUCGGCGGUUGGGGAUGGAAUCGCGGCUUAUCAGCUUGGUGGUUGGGUAGUGGAUUACCAAGGCUUGGACGGGUAGCCGGCCUGAGAGGGGGACCGGCCACACUGGGACGGAGAUACGGCCCAGACUCGUACGGGAGGCAGGAGUGGGGAAUAGUGCACAAUGGGCGGAAGGCUGGUGCAGCAACGCCGCGUGGGGGAUGACAGCCUUCGGGUUGUAUACCGCUGUCGCCUGUGACGAAGCGUGAGUGACGGUAAUGGGUAAAGAAGCACCGGCUAACUACGUG